rnacentral:tRNA from 1 species
UCCCUGGUGGUCCAGUGGUUAGGACUCCACACUUUCAUUGCUGAAGGUGCAGGUUUCAUCCCUGGUUGGGGAA